UUGGUUAAGUUAGAAAGGGCGCACGGUGGAUGCCUUGGCACUAGGAGCCGAAGAAGGACGGGACUAACACCGAUAUGCUUUGGGGAGCUGUACGUAAGCGUUGAUCCAGAGAUUUCCGAAUGGGGGAACCCACUAUCUUUAGUCGGAUAGUAUCCUUACGUGAAUACAUAGCGUGAGGAAGGCAGACCCAGGGAACUGAAACAUCUAAGUACCUGGAGGAAGAGAAAGAAAAAUCGAUUUCCUGAGUAGCGGCGAGCGAAACGGAAAGAGCCCAAACCAAGAAGCUUGCUUCUUGGGGUUGUAGGACACUCUAUACGGAGUUACAAAAGAAAGUUAUAAAUGAAGCGGUCUGGAAAGGCCCGCCAAAGACGGUAACAGCCCGGUAGUUGAAAUGGCUUUCCCUCCAGAGUGGAUCCUGAGUACGGCGGAACACGUGAAAUUCCGUCGGAAUCCGGGAGGACCAUCUCCCAAGGCUAAAUACUCCCUAGUGACCGAUAGUGAACCAGUACCGUGAGGGAAAGGUGAAAAGCACCCCGGAAGGGGAGUGAAACAGUUCCUGAAACCGUGUGCCUACAAGUAGUUAGAGCCCGUUAAUGGGUGAUAGCGUGCCUUUUGUAGAAUGAACCGGCGAGUUACGAUUUGUUGCAAGGUUAAGCGGAAAAAGCGGAGCCGUAGCGAAAGCGAGUCUGAAUAGGGCGCAUAAGUAACAGGUCGUAGACCCGAAACCAGGUGAUCUACCCAUGUCCAGGAUGAAGGUAAGGUAAUACUUACUGGAGGUCCGAACCCACGCACGUUGAAAAGUGCGGGGAUGAGGUGUGGGUAGCGGAGAAAUUCCAAUCGAACUUGGAGAUAGCUGGUUCUCUCCGAAAUAGCUUUAGGGCUAGCCUCGAGGUAAAGAGUCAUGGAGGUAGAGCACUGUUUGGACUAGGGGCCCUUCUCGGGUUACCGAAUUCAGAUAAACUCCGAAUGCCAUGUACUUAUACUCGGGAGUCAGACUGCGAGUGAUAAGAUCCGUAGUCGAAAGGGAAACAGCCCAGACCACCAGUUAAGGUCCCCAAAUAUAUGUUAAGUGGAAAAGGAUGUGGGGUUGCUUAGACAACCAGGAUGUUGGCUUAGAAGCAGCCACCAUUGAAAGAGUGCGUAAUAGCUCACUGGUCGAGUGACCCCGCGCCGAAAAUGUACCGGGGCUAAACAUAUUACCGAAACUGUGGAUGAACCUCUUUAGAGGUUCGUGGUAGGAGAGCGUUCUAAGGGCGGUGAAGUCAGACCGGAAGGACUGGUGGAGCGCUUAGAAGUGAGAAUGCCGGUAUGAGUAGCGAAAGAAGGGUGAGAAUCCCUUCCACCGAAUAUCUAAGGUUUCCUGAGGAAGGCUCGUCCGCUCAGGGUUAGUCGGGACCUAAGCCGAGGCCGAUAGGCGUAGGCGAUGGACAACAGGUAGAGAUUCCUGUACCAGUGCUAAUUGUUUAACCGAUGGGGUGACACAGAAGGAUAGGGAAUCGCACGAAUGGAAAUGUGCGUCCAAGCAGUGAGUGUGAGAAGUAGGCAAAUCCGCUUCUCGCGAAGCAUGAGCUGUGAUGGGGAAGGAAAUUAAGUACGGAAGUUCCUGAUUUCACGCUGUCAAGAAAAGCCUCUAGGAAGAGUAGUACUGCCCGUACCGCAAACCGACACAGGUAGAUGAGGAGAGAAUCCUAAGGUGAGCGAGAGAACUCUCGUUAAGGAACUCGGCAAAAUGACCCCGUAACUUCGGGAGAAGGGGUGCUCUAUUAGGGUGCAAGCCCGAGAGAGCCGCAGUGAAUAGGCCCAGGCGACUGUUUAGCAAAAACACAGGUCUCUGCAAAACCGUAAGGUGACGUAUAGGGGCUGACGCCUGCCCGGUGCUGGAAGGUUAAGAGGAGUGCUUAGCUUCGGCGAAGGUACGAAUUGAAGCCCCAGUAAACGGCGGCCGUAACUAUAACGGUCCUAAGGUAGCGAAAUUCCUUGUCGGGU
rnacentral:rRNA from 1 species